UACGUAGGGUGCAAGCGUUGUCCGGAAUUAUUGGGCGUAAAGAGCUCGUAGGCGGUCUGUCGCGUCGGAUGUGAAAACCCAGGGCUCAACCCUGGGCCUGCAUUCGAUACGGGCAGACUAGAGUUCGGUAGGGGAGACUGGAAUUCCUGGUGUAGCGGUGAAAUGCGCAGAUAUCAGGAGGAACACCGGUGGCGAAGGCGGUUCUCUGGGCAUUACCUGACGCUGAGGAGCGAAAGUGUGGGGAGCGAACAGG
rnacentral:rRNA from 1 species